rnacentral:rRNA from 1 species
AUAACUCUAAGCGGUGGAUCACUCGGCUCGGGUGU